CCGACACCUUCUUCCCAGUGCGGCCCGGGCUGCGGCCCCGGGUCCGAGGAGGCCCGGGGAGACCCGGAGGAGGUCAGAAGGCCUUCAGGGUCCCCGGGAUGGGGUGGAAACUGAGACCCAGAGAGCCGUGACUUGACUGAUCCCACAGCCAGGAAAUGGUGGAGCCUGGAUUUGAACCCCAGCUUUUAAGAAGAAGGUGCCACUGUCCUGGAAGAACUCUCAGGACAGCAUUAGUGUCUCAGGGAUCCCCCUAAUCGGAGGGGCCUUAAGCCUAAUCAUGAUUGUCACUGAAGAUCCAGGAGGGCUUCCUGGAGGAGGAGGCAGCUCCAUUCUGAAAUGCCAAGGGUACAGCUUUAUUGGGACAGCCAGUGUCUCUGAAUAUGUAGGUUUUGCACAGAGCUUGUACUGCCCCAGGGCCUGUACACUGCCUGUCCCCUCUGCCUUGUGCACUCUUUCCCUAGAUGUCCAAAUGGCUCCUUUCCUCACCUACCCCAAAUCUCAAUUCCAGUGUUUCCCCAGCCUCCCCUCAUUUCAGUAAUCACUCUGCAGUGAGCUAGGAUUGCGCCACUGCACUCCAGCUUGGAUAAGAGAACAAGACCCUGUCUCUUAACUAAAUACAUAAAUAAAAAUAAUUCCCCUCUUCAUCCCUCUUUACCCUGUUUUGAUGGUUUUGUUCAACUUUUCACCAAUAGGACUUUCUCUUAUGCAUUUACUCGUUUCUCUUCCAAUCCCUCCC
rnacentral:lncRNA from 1 species